rnacentral:rRNA from 1 species
GUACCCCGGGAGGGGAGUGAAAUAGUACCUGAAACCGUGUGCCUACAAUCCGUCAGAGCCCUCCUUUGGUGGGGGUGAUGGCGUGCCUUUUGAAGAAUGAGCCUGCGAGUCAGGGACAUGUCGCGAGGUUAACCCCGUGGGGGGUAGCCGUAGCGAAAGCGAGUCUGAAUAGGGCGUAUCCCGUAAGGGUGUAGUGGCAUGUUCUGGACCCGAAGCGGAGUGAUCUACCCAUGGCCAGGGUGAAGCGCGGGUAAGACCGCGUGGAGGCCCGAACCCACUUAGGUUGAAGACUGAGGGGAUGAGCUGUGGGUAGGGGUGAAAGGCCAAUCAAAACUCCGUGAUAGCUGGUUCUCCCCGAAAUGCAUUUAGGUGCAGCGUUGCGUGUUUCUUGCCGGAGGUAGAGCUACUGGAUGGCCGAUGGGCCUCACCAGGUUACUGACGUCAGCCAAACUCCGAAUGCCGGUAAGACAAAAGACGUGGCAGUGAGACGGCGGGGGAGUAAGCUCCGUGCGUCGAGAGGGAAACAGCCCAGAUCGCCGACUAAGG